GCUGGGUACAGUAGCAUGUGCCUGUAGUCCCAGCUACUUGGGAGCCUGAGGCAGGGGUAUCACUUGAGCCUGGGAGUUUGAGGCUGCAGUGAGUUGUGCUCGAGCCACUGCAUUCCAGCCUGAGCAACAAAGUGAGACCCUGUCUCUA
ensembl:misc_RNA Metazoa_SRP Metazoan signal recognition particle RNA